UCAUGCAUUCUACUCAACUACAAGAAGUCAAUAUCACUACUGGAGGGAUUAUUGAAAGGGUGCUACUACAUGCAAAUAAAACAUAGGUAUGAAAAACAUGGUCAAAGUGAACUUGCCUGGUAUUACUUGAUGAAGAUAAUAACGCUCUCAGAAUCUUUGAUAAACUAUUCGUCACUCCGAGAAAAUCUAUAUAAUCAAACAUAGUAUUCACAUAAGCAAUCAAUUCUAGCAAUCAAUACUAUCAAUCAAAAUAACACUCAACUAAAAAAAUAAAAUAAAUAAAACAAUAAUGAAAUCAAAGAAGACCAAAAUAAAUAUCCAAAGAAAACUUUAAAGAAAACUAGGGAAAACCAACACACUAUCAACCAAUAACUUUCAUAACCACACUAAAUUAAUCUAAACAAUUUUCUUAACAGAAAAUAAAACCUCUUUCCAUUAAAACAACAGAAAUAAAUUAUCUAAAAUAAUUUCUAGCAACAAUAACUACAAUACUAGCUAUUACAUACACUAUAUACUAGCUAUGCUAAAACUGAAAUCCUAAACAGUAGCAAAACUAAUAAAAAUAAUUUCUAAAAUCAUGUGCUGAAGUCUAACAUAUGUAUAUUUCAAUCAACAAAACUUUGCGAAAAGAAUUAAUUAAAUCUAAACAAAACUUACUAAGUUACAAGCAAAACAAAACUACAUAGAAAACAAUACAGUUUUUUCACUAAAAACCUAAUUUAUAUAAAUAAAUAAAAACACUAUAGUCUACCGGAUAGGCAAAAGUCCUAGUGACCGGGAGCAAAAAGAAUCAACUUAAAAUAUACUUUCAAACUCAAGUUAUGGCCAAAAUAGUGUUUGAGGGAAAUUCAUGCAAAUUCAAACUACAACUACUCAAAUUGAAAUCCAAGUACAGAAAUAGAAACUUCAACAAAUUUGUGACAAAGUGCAAAAAGAAUCAAUCAAUUUGGAUCUAAAACAUAAAAGUUAUAAGCAAUAUAAAAUCAGAACUAUUCUGUUUUUAAAACAGAAACGAAAAUAAAAAAAACUAACGGGCGCUACGGGGGUGUGCGAGCUGAAACUAAACAGCGCUCGGGCGAAAACUAACCGAAACGCGUACGGCCUAAAAGAGAAAGACCGAUCGGCUAAACCGACUAUACCUGAACCGAUCUAAACCGAAUAAAAACCGGAACUAAACCGAUCUAUAAACAGAAAACCAAACCGUUCGUUAGAUCUAAUAUGGCGCGUCAAUAACAGAUCGGACGGUGAAGGGGAAGUGGAGAGCUCACCGCGGGGAAGGUCGACGGUGAGCGGCUCGUACGUCGUCGGCAGCGGCGCUCCGAUCGUCGGCGGGCUCCGGCGAGGGUAUGGGCGGACGCAGCGUUCGACGGCGAGUCCAGUGGUGGUCGAGAUGGUGCCGUAGGUGGACGGAGGAGGUCGGCGGCGAGGUCGAGGCGGCGCCUCCGUUCGGGGGUCGUUGGUGGCGGCGCUCCGGUGGGUUUUGGGCUCGCGCGAGCGCAUGGGGAGGUGCGGAAGAGCGAGGGGGUUAUGGUGGUGGUCUCAAGUGGCGGCUAGGUGGUCGGGUGGUGAGGUAAGGCAACAAUGGUGCGGCGGCGGCGCUCGGAUCCGGCGAGAAAUCGGGGAGGCAGCUGAGGUUCUUGGUGCGGGGAAAGCAGGGGAACUGGUCGAGCGAGAGGGGUAUUUCUAUGGGGAGGCCGACUUGGGAGAGGGGGCGAAUCAGGGAGAGGAUCCCGCGAUCUCCGGGAUGCGGCGGCGGCCGCUGCGCGAUCUUGCUGCGGCGGUUGCGUGCGGAGGAGGAAGAAGGCCGCGGGUGCGCCGAGCUGGGCCAGUGGGUUGUAUGUGAGGGGAGAGGGAGGGGACCUGUUAUAUAUAUAUAUAUAUAUAUAUAUAUAUAUAUAUAAGCACACACAAGAAAAUAAAGGAAAAACAAUAAGAAUUUUAUAUAGACAUAUUAUAUACCAAAAUUUUCUGAAUAAAAUUUCCUAAAACAUGAACAUAUUUUCAGAGGCAAAUAAAAUCUACAAAAAAUUCAAAUAAAGCAAAUAGUGGUACUGUUGCAUUAAAACCCAACAAAAAUCAUUUUUAAAAUACCAAAAUGACUUCCAAAUUAUUUUCUCCUAAUUUUCCAUUGAAGGGAAUCAUUUUACCCUUAUUUCCAUUUAUUUAAUUUUAGGAGAAAAAUAAUUUGAUUAAAAGUCAAAUAACUCCUAAAUGGUUUUGAAUUCUAAUUUCAAACCACUUCCAACUCUAUUUCUUAUAAUUUGAAGAAGUCAUUUUAUCUUCUCUCAUGAAAAUCAUUGAGUUGCAUAAAGCUUCUGAAUUUGAAAUAUGUCCAAAUGGAAUUCAAAUCUUUUCAAAACCCUUUUUCAUUUCAAAUGGAAGAAGUCAUGUCUUCUUCACUCUAGGGUUUUGUGUUUGAAUUCUUGGAGAUAAAGAUGCAAGGGGAAAGUUUGGGAAAGUCAUUUCAUUCCCUCUCAUUCAACUUUCAAAAAGUUUGAAAUUCCACUCAAUUUCACACAAUCAAUCACACAACAAUCAAACAAACAAUCAUAAAUAUCUAUUUAAUAUAACAUUCCAAAAUUUAGAAUUUUGGGAUGUUACAAACCUACCACACUUAAAAUGAAUCUCGUCCUCGAGAUUCGAAGAGGCUAGCAAGAAAAGGUUAGGGUUUGAGGGUCUUCUAGCAAUGCCAUUGAUUGGAAUGGUCUAGUGUGCUACCACACUUAAAAGCAGGGUUAUGGUCCCGUCCAAAACUCAUGUGCUCAUUCCUUUGGGUUGACGGUGUCGGUCUUCUCAUAUUCCCUGGAAUAACUAUUUCACUGGUGCUCUCCUAGUAGGGGCAUGACAUUUUUCUCAAAAUCUUGUGUCCUCUCAAUCCCGGCGAGGUUCUUCCGAAGAGUGGGUCUUCGUAUAUGACAUGUCUGUCGUCAAUACUAAGAAACUAUCGGAGCCUCCUGGUGGUCAACAAUUUAUGGCUUCUCCUGCAGGAAAAAUGGUCAGGGUUGAAUCUCACCGUAUAUCCUACGAUUGGCAACGGUUUCCUGGUACAUGGAUCAAUCAUCCUACCAUUCUAUGGUUUUGGCUUAUCGUGUCGACACUCUUCUAAGGUUUUCAAGGCUCUCUGAUUUUCCCAUCAACAUAUGAUAGUUCAUGAUAGAAGUCUCCGGUAUGGGGGCCAAUCCAUCCCUUACUUGAACCAUUACUACAUAUGCACACAUCGAAUAACGUAUUCUAACACUUGGGCAUACUCACAAGCAUUGCAGAAUUUCUCUUGUCAACGAAUUGAGUUCGAAUAAAUCCAUUGUUUGUGCAAGAUGAAUGAGACAUCUAACGUUUCUUCACAACCCUCGGGUUUUCGUAUCCUCCUAAAAAUGUUGGCUGAUUAACUCAGAGUUUUCUUCCAAAAUAUCUUCCUUCAGCAAGAGUGUGCUUUCUUCUUAUUAACUCAUGGGCCUGUGGGUUAUGGCCCACUUCAACUCUUGUACAAUUUUAACUCAUCUAUUCGAGGAUUAUCAUUCGAUAUUCCAACAUUACAUCUCCUUUAAAUCCAAUAGUACUUCUUGCCUCAUACCCUUGUGGUGACGAUCAUACAAAACUCCAACUUAUUUGGUCCAGCUCCCUUCUAUGGACCGUCACGAAUAACACAUUUCUUUCUUCAUUGAUCCUGUGUCUUUACGGAGUACUACCGCAAAAAAUGCACUAGUUUAUCCAUAAAUCAUAUUAUUUUCAUAUCAAAUCUUUUAUUACAUCCUUAACCAUUUUUCGCAAAUCCAAAUUCCAAAAAGUACUUUAUUACAAAUGCUGCCACCCACAUGGUUUGGUAUGGUCAGGCAUUACGUCCAACUUUAUUAAUCUUUUCUCCUUGGGGAUUCUUUAGUCCCACGGGAAUUGUGCGACAUGCGCCUUGAAAUCUUCAAUCUUCUGUUUCAUCGUGGUGGCCUUGAUCUUCAUCUCCAUCAUCUCUGCAUGCACUUCUCUUAGGUAUUCCUGAGUAUAACGGAGUCUUGCUUAAAGUAUUUCUCCGAUCUGGCGUAUGGCUUCCAUGGCUGCUUCACGAACAGCGUCUAAGAAAGUUGCUUGUGGUACACGUGAGAUGAAAAAGUACUGCCCCAUCGUCGUUGGGCAAACUCCUUUAAUACGGUGGAGGUGUACCUCCACAUACAAAAGUUCCACUCCCUUUUGCAUGAAGGGGUAGCCUUUGUAGACUGCAUCUCCUUCAAGGUGAAUAUGCUUCAUCAUGUCCUUCGGGAUCUUCGGGUAAUCAUAAUCACUUGUCAGGGUCAUGAUAGUUUCCGGGCCCUUAAGGAAAGACUCAUAAAGGGUCGUCAUCUGCAGUUGUAAAACAAAAAAUGGUGCUCAGAAUAAGGUACAUAUCUCCUAGGGUACACAUUCAUAUCAUCCAAACAAAACUUCAAACUCAAUUUCCACCAUCCAGUUUAUGCAUCACAACUCAUUUUCUUCCAUGUUCACCUAGAAUAUUAAUUUCCAAGAUAAAGCAUAACAACUCCUUAAAUCCUUUCAGCAUAUGACAUAUCAACUUUAUUGAGUCAUGAAUUAUUACAAUCUCUGAGUAAUCUAUUACAUAACUCAACCCCGCGUUCUCAUGAAAAAAUGUUUUCGAUACUACCCUUAUUACUGAUAUCAACAUCUCCACUACUCAGCUCCAGCUUUCUCAUGAUUUGUACAAUCCCUAGCAAAAUGUCCUGCUUCCUUGCAGUGAAAAUAAAUAACUUCCAGCAUGUCUCGAGGCUUCUUGGUGAUGGUGCCUGCUCCUUGAGUUCCUUGCUUCCUUUCGAGACAGUCAUUGGCAUAAUGCCCGACAUCCUUACAUUCAAAACAGGUAAUAUGACUCUUGUCCCUCUUUGCAGAAAUUGGGUUGUUCUGAGGGUGUCUUUGUUUUCUCUUCCUAGUUUUCUUCGUUCUGAUCAAACGUUCUAUUCCCUGUGUAUCAAACUCCACUGCUUCUGUAGGGAAAUAUCCCAUAUACUCUUUUCUUUCCUUGGUGCAAUACUGUGACAAAUGUCCUUCUUCUCCACAUGAAUAACAGGCAUUGGAGUAAAAUCUGUUGAGGCUUUGUCCAUCAGGGUCUUCAACACUUUUCUUAAUCACAGGUUCUUUCAUAACUUCUCGGAGGGCUUCUUUCAUUCCUUCUUCCUGCUUCUGAAUAGUUUGUUGCACCGUGGGGUAAAUGUGACACUGAGCUGGGUAGUGGGCGGUUCCUUCACACAAGAAACAAGUCACCUGACUAGCUGGGCAUUCCUCAGCUGGGUGUUUCUCCUUACAAUGAGGGCAUCCAUCCUUGUGUUCCUCCUAGGUGUGUCCUAUUUCUCCGCAAAUUUUGCAGGCACAAGGUUUAUUUCUUCGGGUAUCAUGGUGCUUCCGGAUAAGAUGAGAUCUUGUCAGGGUCUUCUUGAAUUCUUCCCAAGUCCUUGCUCCAUUCCAUCCCUGUAUAGCUUGAUGCAGCUACCACCAUGUUGCAGCACAUCCUUCAAAGUACUGAAGAGCGUACGAUACUUCAUUCUUCCUUGAAACCAAAUUGCUCCUGAAGUGAUUCUCCAUAUUCUGAAUCCAUAGCUCUGCCUCCGGUUGGGUCUUUGGUCCAGAGAAUACUAGCCCAACUUCAUUCAUCAUCUACUCGGUCCAAGGGUUUUAGGGUGAGAUAAGAGAGAGGUGGGGAGAUACACACAAUACAAGCAAUAGUUUCGAAGAAAUGGUUUUUGGUUUGUGGCUGUCAGAAAAACAUCAAAAAAAUGACAGCUCACAAAUCGCCGCAUCUAACGUAAGUAUAUAACAUGGGUUUGGUCUUCUAAAGGUCAAAUAAUUCUUCAGAUUCUUCAAGUCUUCGGAGUCUUCAACUGUUGUAGCUUCAACUCUUCUAAUGCAUGGUGAAAUCCUCUUUACUCUGAAAUGGUCAUCGAUUGUCCGAUAUCUUGUCCUUCUUGGAGCGGCUUUAGUUGAUCCUCCGUGUGGUCAAAAGGGAAAGGGGUAUAUUCUAACUAUUUGAGGUAAGAGAGGAUAUUUGAUAAAAUCAGAAAAGAUGAGAAGUAAUAGAUUCUUUUGAAAAUAAAGUUUUAGAGAUUUCCUGUCCUAGGGGCUUUCUGAUUUCUAGGGUCACGUCCUACAGUCAAUAUGUGCUCUGAUACCAUAUCUGUAGCGAGCCGACGUCAGACGGUCAAGCCUCUGUGUAUAUGUGCUAUCCCUGGAUCGGUAUGCUGGCACACACAGUACAUCAAUGUAUAUAUCAAAGUGCAAUCACAUGUAUAAGUAACGUAAAACUGAUAUAUACCUCAUAAGUCUCAGCGGAAACAAACAAUCGGGUGUGGAGUCCCAUCAACGCCAUCGGCAGGUUGAGUGUAGACCGUAACCCAAUCAACGAAACUCACUCAUUGUAUAUAAAAUCCCGCAACAUGAUACGUUGCAGCCGUGUAGGUCAGUACAUUGAAUGUACCGGCAAGAUCACCGUAAGAGAAAACAGAUGAUAUACUAUACUAUAUGCAGUAUGGCUUUGUGGCUCUGUAUCUGAGUUUUUUUUGCGUAAAAGCUGGUUUUAUUUUCCCUACAUCAAAGGAAUUAUCCAGAGUCUGUAUUAUGGAGUUUUCUAUCAUGACAUGGUUCUGCCAACCGAUGUCUCACAGCCCAAAUCAUCAUAAGUUGCCCACAAUUAAGUUAUCAGUCCGGUGUUGAGAGUUCCGAGAUAGAUCCAAGUCCAGAGGCUCAAAUUGUUCGUAACCGGGGACACGGCUAAUCGAUUAGGUUUUUAACCCUCUGCAGAGGUCUGUACACUUUACCCGCAAGAUUCGAUCCCUCUUUUUAUGUUCCCGCACUUCAGGGUGUUUGAGAACAAGAUGACCGAAACAUGUUCUUCCGAAGAGUUCCUCUGACCACUGUCCGGUGCUCAUCCAAUCCUAACGUAGUUCUACAUCUGCUAGCACCGUCCCAGCCAGAGUCACAACUAAGGUCAACCAAGCCAGAGCCCAUAGUGACUUGCGGUUGCAUAGGUAAGCUUCCGGGCAUGAAGUAUUCUUCCGUCUCUUUGAGUCUGGGUGAAGCUUUCUGCAAGAUGUCAUGGCGCUUCUCCAUGCAUCCCGGCCAACCACUGGUUUCUCCAGGGUGCCCGUCAACCAUCCUUCACCCAGUAGUGUGUACUGAAUUCUUGUCUCCAGUCUCGACAUCUUGAAGAGUCCUGAAGAUGCAGUCCUUACCGGUGCCAUCAUGAAGUUGUCACCAUUGACGUAGAGUCCUCCUUCUUCACACCACUCUCAUGCACUCACACCAAACCCCGUCUACUAUAGCAUAGCAUUAAAACUAUAUAACGUCCCAGGCUUGAUAACAGGGAGAUGGUUCCUACCUCAUGCAUUCUACUCAACUACAAGAAAUGAAUAUCACUACUGGAGGGAUUAUUGAAAGGGUGCUACUACAUGCAAAUAAAACAUAGGUAUGAAAAACAUGGUCAAAGUGAACUUGCCUGGUAUUACUUGAUGAAGAUAAUAGCGCUCUCGUAAUCUUUGAUAAACUACUCGUCACUCCGAGAAAAUCUAUAUAAUCAAACGUAGUAUUCACAGAAGCAAUCAAUUCUAGCAAUCAAUACUAUCAAUCAGAAUAACACUCAACUAAAUAAAAUAAAUAAAGAAAACAAUAAUGAAAUCAAAGAAGACCAAAAUAAAU
rnacentral:lncRNA from 1 species